UAAUACAUAGGGUGCAAGCGUUGUCCGGAAUUAUUGGGCGUAAAGAGCUCGUAGGUGGUUCGUCACGUCGGAUGUGAAACUCUGGGGCUUAACCCCAGACCUGCAUUCGAUACGGGCGAGCUUGAGUAUGGUAGGGGAGUCUGGAAUUCCUGGUGUAGCGGUGGAAUGCGCAGAUAUCAGGAGGAACACCAAUGGCGAAGGCAGGACUCUGGGCCAUUACUGACACUGAGGAGCGAAAGCGUGGGAGCGAACAGGAUUAGAUACCCUGGUAGUCCACGCCGUAAACGGUGGGCACUAGUUGUGGGGACCUUCCACGGUCUCUGCGACGCAGCUAACGCAUUAAGUGCCCCGCCUGGGGAGUACGAUCGCAAGAUUAAAACUCAAAGGAAUUGACGGGGCCCCGCACAAGCGGUGGAGCAUGUGGUUUAAUUCGAAGCAACGCGCAGAACCUUACCAACCCUUGACAUGGAUAUCGCGGCUCUGGAGACAGAGCUUUCAGUUC
rnacentral:rRNA from 1 species